GAGAAAGAAAUGACAUUGCAAUGGCACAUGGAAAGAUGAGUAGACCUUGAAGAGAUAUUUAUAGUUCUUUUAUUAUGUGAAACGAGAACAAUAAACGGGUGAGGACCAAAAUUAUUAAGGAAAAACAAGUGUUAGAGGAAGGAUUGUAAAUGACAAGGAAGGUACAACCUUACAAGGUAAGAGGAAAUUGGUAUAGAAGGUUGUUGUUGCCGGCAUUUUGCUGCCUGUAAGUCCUGGCCAUUUCUGUCCCCAAAUUGUUCUCCUUCCUCGAAGUUGCACGGGAAGUACCGUAUAUUUUUUGGUCAUGGCAAGCAUUUUCUUGUCAUUUGAUAAUAUAUUUUUACUACCUGGCGUGAACUUCCAAAAAAUUACACACCCAGUACCCUGUUUGGUGCUCCUUUAAAGAGGAAACUAAAGUUGGUCAGAAUCUCUCUGGAACGUAUGUAAGAUGUUGAUCUUAUUGGUUUGGCAUGUCAAAUUUAGAGAAUGGUAAAGGCAAGAAAAAACAGAAGAAAGAGAGAAAGGAAAUAAAGAUGAUAUUUCUGAUUUCAUCAUGUAGUUGAAGUUUGUCAUCUUAUGGUUGUAAUGUCUACAAGGCCAAAUGCCUCCAAGUUAUCUUUAAAUCAAGUUGAAUUAAAAAUAUAAACUGUUAGCAAGA
rnacentral:lncRNA from 1 species